rnacentral:rRNA from 1 species
AGAACGAACGCUGGCGGCAUGCCUAACACAUGCAAGUCGAACGAGACCUUCGGGUCUAGUGGCGCACGGGUGCGUAACGCGUGGGAACCUGCCCUUAGGUUCGGAAUAACUCAGAGAAAUUUGAGCUAAUACCGGAUAAUGUCUUCGGACCAAAGAUUUAUCGCCUUUGGAUGGGCCCGCGUAGGAUUAGCUUGUUGGUGGGGUAAUGGCCUACCAAGGCGACGAUCCUUAGCUGGUCUGAGAGGAUGAUCAGCCACACUGGGACUGAGACACGGCCCAGACUCCUACGGGAGGCAGCAGUGGGGAAUAUUGGACAAUGGGCGAAAGCCUGAUCCAGCAAUGCCGCGUGAGUGAUGAAGGCCGUUAGGUUGUAAAGCUCUUUACCCGGGAUGAUAUGACAGUACCGGAGAAUAAGCUCCGGCUAACUCCGUGCCAGCAGCCG